CCUCACUACACCACCCCCAGCGAAAUCCUGGCACCCAGAGAGCACUCUUUUUCAGCCAGAGCCCAGAAACAGCCGUUGUCCCCUGGCAAAAGAGGCCCAGUGCUGAGCCCUGGGCAAGUGUCUCCAGACAUCCCUACCUUUCCUCCCUUCAUUAAGUUUUCUUUCCCAACAGAACCCAUUUCCUUUGCCACUAAAACUAGGUUGCAUCCAAAAGUUUCUCACAAGCUUAAAAAAGAAAAAUUGACACCAUUAUACAGAAGAAGUCACAAAAGCUGCAGAGCUCCAGGGCAGAGAAGCAGCGACAGACACAGCUUUCCAAAUCAACUGGGCUCUAUAUUGUCAUUUUGAAGAAACUGAGGUACAGGAAAAGGAUUUGACCCAAGGAUGCAGGAGAAGCUGCGAGCAGGGGCUGGAGCAGCCUCGGGACAUCUUGAGUUUGGCGUCCAUUUGCUCCAUUUGAAGGAAGUGCAAAAGCUGCCAAUGAGCUACUGUUUGCUUCUUUAGGGGCCUGAUGAGAAGAAACAAUAGACCACUGGUAGGGUCUCCUAGGCUAAGCAGAGGCACAGCCAUGGGAAGGAGCUGCUAGCCCUUCUUGCUAAAGCAUGCAGCAUGCACACAAGACUGUCUGGAGAAUCUGAUGGCCUCUAAGAAGAAAGAAGAGGUGAAGGAGCCUGGGGAGUCAGCUAGUUCCAAGAAGAAAGUGUGCCCAGGACACACAGGACGGAUGUUUCCAAGUCACUCCAGGGACAGCUCGAGGCUCUUACUGGCCUGUGUCUCAGAACUUGCUUUCCCUGCCUCUUCCCUGUGAAUUUCCCAAAUUCUCUAACUCUGAUUCAUGCUUGUGUGUAACUCUUCUCUAUAGUUUGUGUGUAAAGACACUUGAAGGAGUAUUGUGAUGGGCUGAGAGUCAUGAUCCUGUGGUGGGCAACGCCUGUGCUUGGUGUAGUAAAGUAAAUUUCAUGACACCUGCUUCAGAGUCUGGGAAUCAAAGUUUAUCCAGCUCUGACUGUACCCCAAGAGACAGUCUCUCCCCUAUUACUAAGAAACAGUAGAGUUUAGGAAAAUGAAUGAUUCCACAUUUAAAAGGCUUGAAAUGGUAUACUUGCCAUUUCUGAUUUCAGUUCUAAAAUUCUGUCCCUUAAUCAUAGGGAAAAUAAGAAACGUAGUUACAACUUUUCAUUUAAAAACUGCUGCAUUAGGAGAAAUGGAAAAUCACAUAGAUAAGUGACUUAUCUAUAUAACUGGAUACUAGUCAUCAGUAGAAAGGUUUGAAAUGUUAGAUAUGAUGGAUGAUUCCUUCAACAUCUUCCUAGGUAACAAAGCCAAUCACAAGGAAAGGCAUAUCCUCCAUAUUCCUGGAGUAUAUAGGCAUACCAAUGUAGAGAAAAAGCACAACACUGGUUACUUGAGACUUGGAGAGAUGAACUGGACUCUGGGAGACAGCAGAGUGGAACAGAUUUUACUUGAGUGGUGAUAAAAAAUGUUUUUGAAUUAACUGAAGUGUGCUUGUUUCACUUGAUAACUGCAUUUUAAAACCACUGAAUUUUACUUUUGAAUGGGGGAAUCGCAUGGUACAUUCAUUGUAUCUCAAUAAAGCCAUUAGUGAU